rnacentral:misc_RNA from 1 species
GAUGAAGAACGCAGUGAAAUGAGAUAAGUAAUGUGAAUUGCAGAAUUCAGUGAAUCAUCGAAUCUUUGAACGCACCUUGCGCCCUUUGGCCAUUCCGAAGGGCAUGCCUGUUUGAGUAUCAUGAACACCUCAACUCUUCAUGGUUUUCCAUGAUGAGCUUGGACUUUGGGGGUCUUGCUGGCCUGUGGGUCGGCUCCUCUCAAAUGAAUCAGCUUGCCGGUUUUUGGUGGGCAUCACAGGUGUGAUAACUAUCUACGCUUGUGGUUUUCCACCAGGGUAACCUUCAGCAGUGGAGGUUCACUGGAGCUUACAAAUGUCUCUCCUCUGUGAGGACAGCCCUUUGAAUGUUUGAUCUCAAAUCAGGCAGGACUACCCGCUGAACUUAAGCAUAUCAAUAAGCGGAGGA